AGAGCAGGGGAAAAUCCACGGUGAGGGUGUGCUGGGCACUGCUAGGUGAGCUCCAAAUCCCUCACCUAGGGAGGUGCUGAGGGUUCAAACCCUUCUGUGGAGCAGCCCAGACCGUGUGCCACGCAGCAUCUGCUGGGAAAAGAAGGCCCCAAAUAUCGCUGGCCCGCUCCAUAUUUAAUUAUCUGCCACAGCAAGUCAGGGCAGGUUUAGCUCAGAGUGCAGGACACUGCACAGACAUCACGUUAUAAAUCAGCCCUCUCUGCCUGGGAUAUGUGCAGGAAGGGUUAAGCUGUAAAACAACCUGCCCUUUUCUACAUAAAUUAAAACCCUUGUUAACGCAGUAAUGUUUUGACUUCCGUUGGAAAGUGUUUAUUUUGGUAGCCUGUACAAAGUUUCAGCUAUUCUAAAACCCUGAGAUUUCACAGCCGAGCUUUCAUGUUCCCAGCAGAGAAGGAGGUGAGAUACUCAAAGAAUCUCUGUUCUUAUUUCAGCACUGCACUUGCCAGCCAAAUUUUCAAAAGAGCCCAGUUUGCUGACAUAAAUGGGGUUGCUGAUGUGCCGAAGGAGAAGGAAGCGCCGGAGAACAUGUUCCUCCCUGGGUCCAAGUCUCUCCCAUCUUAUCUUUCCCUCCCAUAUGUUUCCUCUGUAAUGAGAGGAAUUAUUUAUCAUUAAAGUGAUAUAUAAUUUAAAAAUUAAAGUUAAUGAAUGCUUAAAUUAAUUUACUGACAAAAACAAAUGUCUGUCCUUCAGAUCCUAUAAUUUUAAUUGGAGUGGGCUACGGCUUAAUUAACAUGUAUUGAUUGUAGUCCCGAGUGCAUCUAUAGGUGGGUGGACUGUGUUGGGAGAAAUCCUCCUCGGAGAUGAAGAUUUGCUGAUAACAUUCUGAAUAAUUGUCUUGUGAAGAGACAGAAGUCUUCGCUGUUUUCUCUGCAGAAAGCUUUAAACAAAAGGUGCACAAAGAAGACAGAAAUUUGGAGGAGAGUUGGAGCAAAUAAAGAAGCGGAUGCAAGCAGAAACUUUUUUGGGGAUAAAAAGAUCAGGAUGUCACCCACAAAGCUCUGUGGAAAUGGGAGAUGGCUCCAGAGGUGCAAGACACAAGUUCAGGGGCAAAUGGAAAUGAGGGAUUUAGAACAUUUUACCUUUGGGGUUUGGCUCAUCCUAGCAGAGACUGGAGCUUGAGGGAACUGGUGAAAUGUGUUCCCUCCUGCCCUGCAAUGUUGAUCCCUGGCACUGUGAGGAUUAGCAGGUGGCCAAAAGCAUCAGGAGGUGACUUCGCUCUGCCAUAAGAUCCCUCCCGGCAGGUCUGGGCUGCCCAGGGGAAGCUGGCAGCACCCUGUGGACCAGACAGUUUUAUAACAUCAAGAAGAAUGGAAAAGCUGCAAGGCAUGCACACUCAAGACGCUGUGCUCCUGGAAAGUUCUGGAUGGGCUCCAGGCAAUGUGUGGUGGCAAAGAAAGAUGAAGGUCUUGGAAAGAAGAGGAAACAAUCAGCCAAGCCCUCAUCCUUCAAUAUUCCUGUUUCUGUGAGCUGGGGAUGCCAUUGGAGCACGGGAAGGACAGAAAAAACGCGUUCCUGCAGCAUCACGUGUC